ACGGGUGAGUAACACGUAUCCAACCUGCCGUCUACUCUUGGCCAGCCUUCUGAAAGGAAGAUUAAUACAAGAUGGCAUCAUGAGUCCACAUGUUCACAUGAUUAAAGGUAUUCCGGUAGACGAUGGGGAUGCGUUCCAUUAGAUAGUAGGCGGGGUAACGGCCCACCUAGUCUUCGAUGGAUAGGGGUUCUGAGAGGAAGGUCCCCCACAUUGGAACUGAGACACGGUCCAA
rnacentral:rRNA from 1 species